AAUAUUACAAAACUCCUAAAGUUUAAAUCUUAAACAUAUUUGUCAUACCCGACGUUCACGCACAGCUUAGUUUUCGAUUUAUACUAUGUUGUCAUAAUAAGUUAAACUAUGUUCGAUUUGUACGAGGGUAUUUUAGCCCAGUGUGGAUUGUGUUGAUGUUUUUAUCGCUCGCCAUGUCAGAUCCGUUCGAUCGGUUUUGUUGCUUCAGUUUUGGGAAUUUGAAAUUGCGGAAAUUUCGUAGUUAAAAUGUGUCUCAAUAUUAUCAGGCUGGGCUGAAGUGGAAUGACGAUGCUGCCGCAGCAGCUGCUUUGGGUUCCCAGCCAGCAUCAUUGGUGAAUGUGUGGUCAAAACGAGUUCACGGUAGGAAAAGACUUCCACUGCUGCUUCGAGUGCCGAACCAAAACACGCGGACCGAGCUGGAGACUGAAUUCUACCAGAACCGGCCGGUUGGAAUUGAUGCCGUUGACGGGAGAAUCAUUCAAAACAAGCAAGUACAUAAGCAACAGAAGGGAAAAAUGGAAAAAACUACAACCUUCUGGACUAAACGGAACUGGUGGCGAUGGGAACCGGUUCGACAUCCAAGCUGACGGUUGCUGCAACUGUGGACGACCUAUUUUGUCGGUCGGAGGAGACGUUUAUCGGCAAGAAUAGAACGGUUUGGAAGUGGAGGAAGCACAAAAGGAGAAAAAGCACCAAUUCGGGGAGUAAAACAGUUCUGCGCCGACUUCCGGCAUUGCGUUGGCCAAGAAUCGCGAUCCGAGCAAAGAAGUUUGCUAUGAUUCGUCCAAGGUCAGUAGGAUCUGAACGUGCGCUCGUUGAAUGCUAGCUUGCCGGGAACCUAGAAAGAAAUUAGCUCGACAAGCGGAGGCCAAACUAACAUUUUCCCGACUGGUUCCUCCAGGUAACAAGUUGGCCGGCAUCGUGAGCACCAACUCCGAUCGAAGGGUUCAUCAACGACACUGGACGGGGCACAACGACACUGGGCGGCAACGACAAGCGGUAGAAGUGCAGAAACAGCAACAAAAUGCUGCGCUUUAGAAGGGAAUGUUGACUUCUGCGAUGAACGCAAAUGGAAGAUUAAGUCCGCCCGGGUUGGAUCCGCGGCCAGUAUGCUCUCGCAUGUGGGUCAAAUUAAUCUAACGGGAAGCAGAACUCCCAGCCACCAGGAGAACACCAACUUCAAUUCAAACAAAAUCAACAUCCGGCCGGGCGAUUCCGAAUGGUUUUUCACACCGGAUACCUGAGGGACCACUGGGAGACAAUCAAGCGCUGUGCGAAAAGACAUCAGCCACUUGCACGGUGGUCAACGCUGGAGGAUCUUCAUGCGGAGAAUAUUCCUGGCCUGGCGAGCUUGUGUGGGUGCUGUUUGACCAAUUGUAGCAUUGAAUAAUGUAAUCAUCAUUAAUAAAUAAAG
rnacentral:lncRNA from 1 species